ensembl:lincRNA uncharacterized LOC102012342
GACAGCUCCCCGCGCGGUGCGAGUCGCGUGGCCCGCGGGCGUCGUCAGCUCCCCGGGCCGCGGCCGGCCGCGUGCGUCGGAGACUCGGAAGGUGGCCGAGGUCUGCGGACUUUGCCAGUUGUGAAAACUCGGAGAAGUCACUGCGUAGGGGAGUCGGUGACAGUCGCUGCGGCCUGCUGUCGGCCGUGAGGGCUCCGCAGGCCGCCUCGAGCUUCGAGGGACCCGCGUGGCUCCGGGUGGCCCUCUGGGGACCGCUCUCAGGCCACCGGCAGAGAGCAGCGCCAAGCAUCCGGCACUGCAGGCCCCCGCCGCCUGGCCUCACGCUGCCCCGCCAGAUGCAGAAGAGGAAGCUGGGGGCCCCGGUCCCGGGACUUUUUGGGUAGGCAGCCGCAGAGCUGUGGCCCCGGCUGCCUGCCUUCACCCAGCCACGCCCAGGUUAUGAGCCUGGAUAGUGCUCGUCAGGACUCUGUGGCUUCCUGCAGCAUGAGCUGGGAUGUCAUCCCGCUGGAGCGAGCAGGUACAACGCCUUGUUUGCCAAGCGCCAGUGAGACCUCUGAUAAGAACUUCUGUUCUCGGGGCACUGCAGCUGAGAGCGGGCGUGCUGAAGUUAGACUGGAGCCCCCCCUGGACGGUGGCUUUGCUGGCCAAACAGAAACUGUGUCUCAGGAGGAAGGGAUGGCUGUCUGCUGGAGGAGUCUCCUUGGAUUAGAACCACCAAGAGGGGAUGCACCCACCAUGGACUUCCAGUGCCCCACAGAGCUCCUGGGUGCUCUUCAAGUCUGGCCGAGUCCUGGGGUCCCGGAAGUCCUCACUGGUGACAGGAAGUCUUUCCAAGAAAUAUCAAACCUUAGUAGGAGUAGAAGCUGCUACAGCCCAACCUGGACCUCAACCUUCGGCUCUAAACAGGAGCCAAGUCCUUUCUUCUCAUUUCCAGAAGCAAGUGUGGCCAUGCUGGUCUCUGUGGGAGUCUCAGAGUUACCUGGCCUCCAGGUCACCCCGAAAGUUGGGCCCCUAAUGCCAGGGUCCCGGUGGAGUGUGGGAACCUGGUGUGACUAACACCGGUCAGGCGCAGGAAGCCAUGUCCAUUCCUUCUCCACCUCUUUGGUGGGAGGAGGGAGACCUUCCACAGGGAAGGCAUGGAGGGUCCUGCGGCCAGCCUUCCACCUUCUCAUCAGAAGGAAAGAAGGAGAGGGGAGCACCUCACGUCACCCUGGCUGGAUUUCGCUGUCAUUUUUAUUAAUAUUUAAUUACCCAAAUAAUUCACUUUAAUUGCAGGUUGGGGCACUAUUGUAGCAUAAAUAAUAUAGCAUUCAACCAAGGAGGAAUGGGCUUAUAAGAAAAAUGCAACACUUUAUGGGAAUUUUUAACUUUUUAUUUCAUUUUAGAAUCCCUGAUUUUUAUCAUAGCUGUGCAUUUGAAAUUGAUGAUCUAACAAGCUAUAGAGGUGAAAUUAUAAUAUAAACAUAAUCAUAUACGAUGAUGGCUACGUAUCUUUCUUCCAAAGAACCAGAGCUCCACCAAC